rnacentral:rRNA from 1 species
CGCACGGGUGAGUAACACGUAUCCAACCUGCCGUCUACUCUUGGACAGCCUUCUGAAAGGAAGAUUAAUACAAGAUGGCAUCAUGAGUUCACAUGUUCACAUGAUUAAAGGUAUUCCGGUAGACGAUGGGGAUGCGUUCCAUUAGAUAGUAGGCGGGGUAACGGCCCACCUAGUCUUCGAUGGAUAGGGGUUCUGAGAGGAAGGUCCCCCACAUUGGAACUGAGACACGGUCCAA